ACCCCACGCCAGGCACGGGGCUGCGGGCUGCGUAUUUACCAUCCUCUCACCCACAGAAGCCUGGCUGAGAUCAAUAGGCGAUAAAGGAUGCCACAGGAGGGCUUGGCCAUGACUGAAGGGAAGUCAGCAAUGCUGAAGGAGCUGGUGCUAGAGGAAUCUAAAACUCUUGCUCAGGUGCAAGGAGGAGCAGCAACUGGUCUUUCUACUUAGAGGUCAUUGAGACCUCAGAAACAUCAAUGAGGUGGCAGGCCCCUGGUUUGAUAUGGGAUGUAUCACCCGUGCUCCAGGUCAAAUAUGUCAUAUGGAAGUACACGCCGCUCAUCAGAUCUGAGCUGGCUAAUUUGUGGACUAGUGUGAUGUUUCGUGAAAUGUAAAGUCAAUUAAGAUUUUAGAAACUGCAUGUUACCAGAAAGCAGGAUAAUUGGUACUGCCCUAAGCAAGAUUGUGAAGUUGUAUUAUUGGCCCUGACGGAUGAAAGCAAACUGCUUCUGGUUUGUCCUUCUAAAAUAAUGUGAAGGAAAGAAAACAUUCUGCAUUCCGAAUGCCAGGCACUGUGUUGACUUCCUUCAGGAAAGAUGCUACCUCUGAAACAGCACCUGGAAUUGGAAUCAUCACCUAAUUGUGUUUAUGAUAAUCUGCAGAAACUCCCCAUGAUUCAUCCAACUGCUGUACAGGCUGAACAGAUAUAGAAGCAAAAAUUGCUGUUAGUGUUCCACCAGAGGUCUGUUGAGAGGUCAUGAUGUUUUCCCAAGACCAGCCAGUACAUCACGGGGUAUGUUCUCAUCAGGCCGUGAGCUUGAUGGUCCCUUCUGCACAACAAGCUGUGAAUGCCAUUCCAGUUUCCACAGUUUCACAGGAGAUGAGCCCCCUUUGCCUACACAAUGGUAAGAAUGACAAUGCAGAAGAGAGGCUCCUCUUCCUAUGGAUUUGCUUCAAGGAGGUCAGGGCUGUCAGUGGCAACAGUCGCCAGAAUGUUCACUAAACUUACCAAGGUCAGCACCAAGUGAGUGGCUGAGUGAGAUGGUGAAUGAUCAGCUCUGUCCCACUUCCAUGAACCUCUGGACAAUGGACACGUGAAGUUUCUGUGGGGCUUGAAGAAACAAAAUUUUAUUCUCACUUCUACUUAACCACCGAGGAUUUCAUCACUCUUCAAUUUCUUUUGCAAAGCAAGAGAUCCCGAGAAUAUUUCAAAAACGGUUGGAGGCAUAGCUGGACAAAUAAAGUACCCUUCCACAGGACCCAGGAGCAAGAGCUUACUAAGAUUCAGCUCAUGAAGAUGUUUCAAAAAAGGAUGGUGGUUUUCAGGCAAAUAGAUCAUCCUUCUUCAAGAAAGGUUUAUAGACCCUUGUACCAAUGUUUUGAGAAGUUCAGGAGCUUCCCCAGGAGAAAAUUGUGUAAGAGGAAAUGCUUAUCCUUGUUCGCUGGAAAGUGACUUCAAAAAGACCCCAUCAAGACCUAACUUCUUUCUAAAGUAGAGCUACUGUUCUCAGGUGGGAACAUUAUACAAUUGACAAUAGGAAGGCAGCAUCUGACCCACAUAAAAUUAUCUCCCACGGUAGUCUUGUUGCAUUGUCUGAAAUGUUCUCAUUUAGACAUCUAGUUCUUAAACUUUCUAGGGUGAUGAAUCCCCUUAAGAAUCUGGUGAAAGUUACAGACUAUCUCCGUAUAAAAGACUAAUGGGCACACACCUAAACACAAUGGGCUUUGUAUACAAAAUCCAGGGACUUCCACCCCACAUUGGGAUCAACCUCUUUUCUCUUGGAUGGAAGCUUUACUGUUUCUAGAAGCAGGCUUUUAAUAUGUAACCUUCCUGCAUUGAGCAAUGCACAAAAGACCGUACUUUGUCUACACGACUUUAUCAGAAAUUAGCAAACCAGGCACAGCUUCAUUCUUAUGGAGCAAAAGUCACAUUUUGAGGGAGAAAGAGGCCUUUUAGGGGGAGGAAUAGAUCAUAGAAAAGAGGAUGCAACUUCAAGUCAGACCCAGGUUGUUUUUUUGUGAUGGAGGUCAGGAUAACGGUCAGAGUAGGGGGCAUCUAAACUAUCUCACUUCAUUUCCUAUUGUCUUUCCUACUCACCUUCAAACUCACAGGGGCUAGUAGCUGUGUUUCACAGUGCUUAAAACCACAGCCUGAUUUUGUGUCCUGAGCACUACCACUUUUCAAAAAUUCCAUGAGAUAUAAUUCUCCUUAUAUACAUUAAUAAUCUAAGGCCCCAAAAGUUCAAAUGGCUAGUGCAAGGUCACAUAACUAGUAAAUUGUGAAGCUCCAAUUCAACUCUGGUCCUUCAUAUAAUCAACCUGCUGGUGCAUCUACAGAUAUGAAAGACUCAAGAACUGUUAACAUGACAUGACCCGCGUGACAUAGCCAAACACAAUAUACACAUUCUGCUCUUUUUAGCAAUAAUUCUAUUAUUCCCUCAUGUGAAACACCUAAGAAAUAAAACAUAGAGCAUAUUUCCCCCAAAUUUAUUUUCAAUCCAGUUACAAAGACAAGAUUAACUCACAUGAAGUUGGAGCUGUGGUUUUCAGGUGAUCUGUGGGUUCUAUAUGGAUCCUGCAGUUUUUCAAAACGAUGCAAAUAUUAUCUAGAAUUACUGUAAAAGAUAUGUGACUAAUGCACUUUCAGUUUUACAUAUGACUAAAAGCCUUUUAUGCAUUACCUAAUAAGUGAAUUGUGAAGAAUUACUUAAAUUAACAUGCAAACAUGGAAAUAUGCACAGUAGCAGAGCUUCCUGAGAUGUUUAUUCCAUAUUCUAUGUGGAAGUCUGGUGACUAUGAACUGUCCAGCAUUAUGAAAGCUUCUAGAAGGCAUGCAUGCCUAUAGAUAAUUGCAUUUUUCUAUUUUCAGAAAGGACUCAGUAAUCACUGCAACAUCAGUGUUGAGUUAAUUACAGUUAAUAUUCAAUUGGUGUUAUUUUGCUUUUCAGUUAUAAAUUCCUAUUUGUUUACAUUUAUUAUUACCAGUUUUGUUUUUUAGUAGUGUUUGGCUAAUCUAAAAUGAAUGAAGAUGUAUACUUAC